CCCCCUAUAGUUCAAUGGAUAGAACGAGGGACUUCUAAUCCCUAAAUCCAAGUUCGACUCUUGGUGGGGGGA
rnacentral:tRNA from 1 species